rnacentral:tRNA from 2 species
CGGAGCUUAGCUCAGUUGGUUUAGAGCGCUUCCUCGACAAGGAAGAGGUCACUGGUUCGAAUCCAGUAGUUCCGACCA